rnacentral:rRNA from 1 species
UACGUAGGGUGCGAGCGUUAAUCGGAAUUACUGGGCGUAAAGCGUGCGCAGGCGGUUCGUUGUGUCGGCGGUGAAAGCCCCGGGCUUAACCUGGGAAUGGCCGUUGAAACUGGCGAACUGGAGUGUGGCAGAGGGGGGUGGAAUUCCGCGUGUAGCAGUGAAAUGCGUAGAGAUGCGGAGGAACACCUGUGGCGAAAGCGGCUCACUGGACCAUAACUGACGCUGAUGCACGAAAGCUAGGGGAGCAAACAGG